ensembl:misc_RNA Metazoa_SRP Metazoan signal recognition particle RNA
GCCGGGUGUGGUGGCGCACACCUGUAGUCCCAGCUACUCGGGAGGCUGAGGCAGGAGAAUCACUGGAACCGGGGAUGCCAAGGUUGCAGUGAGCUGAGAUUGCACCACUGCACUCCAGCCUGGGUGACAGAGUGAGACUCAGUCUCAA